AGAACUUCUUCUUCUGUCCAAUACUGAUAAGCAUCUGGGCCAUUGCAGGUGAAAUCUAUACAAAAUGGUAAUUGGCAUUGAAAAAGGUGAGAGCGACGCUGUAUAAGGAGAGCGGAUCAUCCAAAAAGGAAAUAAUUCUGCAGAGGCAGUCGUCAUUGAGAGUCAGGAUGGAAGCCAUAUUGCGAAACUGAGUACAGGAUAGGCCCGAAUCGCGUACAUACAUGGAAGUUAUUUACCUCUAUGACCAUGGUAUCGCCGAAGAGUUUUUCAGCUAAAUUCUUGUCUAAUUUUUUUUAAUUCUUGCCUUCUGUCGAGAAUGUGGCUUGAUCAUACAAGAAAGCUUUUAUGGAGCCCCAAUCAUGGAAUUCUUAUGAGAAGUAUUAGACUAAGUCAGCCAUUUCUACAAAGUUCAUAAUCAUUUGUGAGUUUUGUCACUUUGAAAGAAACUUUUACACAUGGAAAAAAAAAAAAAAAAA